GACGAACGCUGGCGGCAUGCCUAACACAUGCAAGUCGAACGAAACCUUCGGGUCUUGGGGCGCUCGGGUGCGUAACGCGUGGGAACCUGCCCUUAGGUUCGGACUAACUCCCGGAAAGGGUUGCUAAUACCGGGUCUUGUAUUGGGACCAAAGUUUUAUUGCCUUUGGGUGGGGCCGCGUUGGAUUGGCUAGGUGGUAGGGUAAAAGCCUACCAAGGCGACGAUCCAUAGCUGGUCUGAGAGGGUGUUCAGCCACACUGGGACUGAGACACGGCCCAGAAUCCUACGGGAGGGAGCAGUGGGGAAUAUUGGACAAGGGGCGAAAGCCUGAUCAAGCAAUGCCGGGUGAGUGAUGAAGGCCUUAGGGUUGUAAAGCUCUUUUACCCGGGAUGAUAAUGACAGUACCGGGAGAAUAAGCUCCGGCUAACUACGUG
rnacentral:rRNA from 1 species